rnacentral:snRNA from 1 species
UUACUUACCUGGACGGGGUCAAUGUGCGAUCAAGAAGGCACAUGGCCUAGGUUGGUGACCUCCAUUGCACUUUGGAGGGGUGCCCGCCUAUGGUCGGCCCAAGUGGUCGAGCUUAUGUCAUAAUUUGUGGCAGUGGGCUUGUGUUCAAACUGGUGACCC